UGAUGUGCAGGUCGCUUAUGA
ensembl:piRNA 21ur-3112 ncRNA